rnacentral:rRNA from 1 species
AUUGAACGCUGGCGGGAGGCCUUACACAUGCAAGUCGAACGAGUGGCGGACGGGUGAGUAAUGUAUGGGGACGUGCCCAGUAGCGGGGGAUAACUACUCGAAAGAGUGGCUAAUACCGCAUACUAUUGGAGCAGCCCAUAUGGGAUUAGCUAGUUGGUGGGGUAAAGGCUCACCUAGGCGACGAUCCGUAGCUGGUUUGAGAGGACGAUCAGCCACACUGGGACUGAGACACGGCCCAGACUCCUACGUGAGGCAGCAGUGGGGAAUUUUGGAAAAUGGGGGAAACCCUGAUCCAGCCAUCCCGCGUGUAUGAGAAGGCCUUCGGGUUGUAAAGUACUUUUGGCAGAGAAGCGGUAUCUGCAGAAUAAGCACCGGCUAACUACGUGCCAGCAGCCGCGGUAAUUC